UGAUGACCCAAAGAUUGAUUUAAAGAUUGAUUUUGAUGAUCACAAAACCUUGAAGCAUAAAUACUAAUGUUUGUGUUGCAAGGAGAAAGAUACUUAUUUUGCAAGGAACAUAGCAAGUUGGAAGAACACAAGAAGGCCUCCAAAGCUCUCAAGAAAAGUUGGAAGAAAGUUACACUUCAUUGGCCCAAGUUUCAAGUUCAAAGGACUCAAGUUGGAAGAGCAAAUUCAAAGGAAAAUCCAAAAGAAUAGUCCUCGAGUCGACUCCUGGAUAGUACGAGUCGACUCCAGGGAGUAACAAGGCAGAAACACAGAGAAGCUAUUUUGGACCCUGAGAGCCGAGUCGACUCCUGAGGAACUCGA
rnacentral:lncRNA from 1 species